UAAGUAUCCCGCCUGGGGAGUACGCACGCAAGUGUGAAACUCAAAGGAAUUGACGGGGGCCCGCACAAGCGGUGGAGGAUGUGGUUUAAUUCGAUGCAACGCGAAGAACCUUACCAGGGCUUGACAUCCCGCGAAUCUCGGUGAAAGCCGAGAGUGCCUUCGGGAGCGCGGAGACAGGUGGUGCAUGGCUGUCGUCAGCUCGUGUCGUGAGAUGUUGGGUUAAGUCCCGCAACGAGCGCAACCCUCGUCCUUAGUUGCCAGCCUUAAGUGGGGCACUCUAGGGAGACUGCCGGUGACAAACCGGAGGAAGGUGAGGAUGACGUCAAGUCAGCAUGCCCCUUAUGCUCUGGGCAACACACGUCCUACAAUGGUCGGGACAAAGGGGAGCGAGCUCGCGAGAGUCAGCAAAUCCCAGCAAACUCGGCCUCAGUUCAGAUGGCAGGCUGCAACUCGCCUGCCUGAAGGAGGAAUCGCUAGUAAUCGCUGGUCAGCAUACAGCGGUGAAUUCGUUCCCGGGCCUUGUACACACCGCCCGUCACACCAUGGAAGCUGGCCAAGCCCGAAGUCGUUACCCUAACCGUGCGCGGAGGGGGGCGCCGAAGGCUGGGCUGGUGACUGGGGUGAAGUCGUAACAAGGUAACC
rnacentral:rRNA from 1 species